rnacentral:rRNA from 1 species
CCUACGGGUGGCAGCAGUAGGGAAUGUUGCGCAAUGGGCGAAAGCCUGACGCAGCAACGCCGCGUGAAAGAGACGAGCUUCGGGGUGUAAAGGUCUGUAAGGGGGGACGAAAAAUGACGGUACCCACAGAGGAAGCACCGGCUAACGCCGUGCAAGCAGCCGCGGCAAGACGGAGGGGGCAAGCGUUUUCCGGAAUAAUUGGGCGUCACGAGUUCGUAGGCGGCAUGUAAAGUCAGGUGUUAAAGGCGCAGGCUCAACCUGUGUAUGGCACUUGAUACUUGCAAGCUGGAAUGCGGUAGAGGUAACUGGAAUUCCUGGUGUAGCGGUGAAAUGCUUAGAUAUCAGGAGGAACCUCGGUGGCGUAGGCGCUUUACUGGGCCGUAAUUGACGCUGAGGCACGAAAGCCCGGGUAGCAAAUAGGAUUAGAUACCCGAGUAGUC